UGAAAUGAUGACUUCCCAGGAGGACUUGACCACAGCAUGAGCCUCUUGAAAAGAGGGCCGGGGGAAGGAAAGAGCGACAGAGAUGACGAGGCUCUCACACAAGUUUGGCAGGAGUCGCCAUCUGAGACGAUGAAGGGUGACGGCCAGAUUACGGACUGUCAAGAACUCCACUGGGACUCACACGUUCCCAGUCUCUUCUCCCCUCAUCCCUCAAAGCCUUUCACCUAUUCAUCUUCCAGAAGGUGACAAAAUUGUCAACGGCAGCUACCGCUGUGGCCGGGAGCAGGCCGCCUCUCCCAUCGGCUACAGAGCUGCUGUCUUCUUAGGUUUGAUAAAUGUGUCUGAUUCCUCAAGCCAGCUAUCUCUGUCACGUAGAGUGUUUUACCGGGCACCCGAGAGACAAGCUGUGAUGUAACCAGUGAGGAUCUCAACAGUUGACUGUUCUGGCUUCUGUUGAAGUACACAUACCUGCACUCAGCUCUGAUGGCUGGCCAGUGUCAUAACCCAACCUUUAACACACUCUCAUAAACAUGCAUCAGAAACACAAAUCAUGAACACAUCACCUACAGUCUCUGAAAAACAGACACAUCACACGCACCAACACACAGACUGGUCACCAC
ensembl:lncRNA